rnacentral:rRNA from 1 species
UACGUAGGGGACGAGCGUUGUCCGGAUUCAUUGGGCGUAAAGCGCGCGUAGGCGGCUCGGCAAGUCGGUCGUGAAAUGCCGGGGCUCAACCCCGGGACUGCGUCCGAUACUCCCGAGCUGGAGGCAGGUAGGGGAGAUCGGAAUUCCUGGUGUAGCGGUGAAAUGCGCAGAUAUCAGGAGGAACACCGGUGGCGAAGGCGGAUCUCUGGGCCUUGCCUGACGCUGAGGCGCGAAAGCUAGGGGAGCGAACAGG